UACGUAGGUGGCAAGCGUUGUCCGGAUUUACUGGGCGUAAAGAGCGCGCAGGCGGUCGUUCAAGUCGCGUGUGAAAGCCCCCGGCUCAACUGGGGAGGGUCACGCGAUACUGAUCGACUGGAAGGCAGGAGAGGGUAGUGGAAUUCCCGGUGUAGUGGUGAAAUGCGCAGAUAUCAGGAAGAACACCAAUGGCGAAAGCAGCUCUCUGGGACGGUACUGACGCUGAGACGCGAAAGCGUGGGGAGCGAACAGG
rnacentral:rRNA from 1 species